AUGAUGGUGAUGAAAUUGUUGAACCACAUUGCCACUAUUCUGAAUUUGGAAAGGUUUAAACUAAAGAAAAAAAUCCCCCAAAGCAACUUGAUUAUUUUCUUGAAAAUCUCAAAUGAUGCCGUGAAAGGUCAAAGACCAGAGUUAGGCCUAAUGAGCAGAAACUCAGAUUUAACAUCUUUCUGAUAAAAGUUUUGUAGUAUUAGUGAAAGAUUAGGGUUUUUUCCUUUAAUUUAGAGAUAUUUGAAUUGUCAAAAAUACCUGCAUGCUUCUCUGUAUGCUAUAUAAGUUAAUAUGAACCUUAAAAUACCCUUUCUCUAAAAUGGAGAUGUAAAUACCAUCUCAGGAUUAUUGCAAGGAUUAGUGGAUAUAAAACACAUGAAAUACUAAAUUUAAUAGGUAAACAUUCAAUCAACAUUAAUUUAUUAUCUUACAAAAGGCAAAAUUAGGAUAUUCACUGAAGGUCAUUGAAAAGUAUUCAUAAGAGUUAUUAAUGAUAAAGGGAAGAGAGAGAAAAAAUGAUGAGAGUAGUGAUUCAUAAAAGAGAUGUUAUGUUUACAGUGAGUGGGAAAUGGGUGUGAUUAUUAUUAAGAUUGAUCAGAAAAGUCUAGUGAGAGAGAAAAGCAGAGAACACUAGAGAUCAUAGAAAAGGAAAACACAAAAGUCAGAUAUUUUUCUUCAUCAGAAAUGAGAAAAGUCAAAAUUAUUUUUUGCAAUGUUAUUCAAACUGGAGCCCAUGGGCUAUCCAUUGUUAACAUGUCAGAUUUCUGAGAACCUACUGCAAACUCCACUGGUUAGAGACAUUCUCUUGGAUUCAUUUUAGGGCCUGUAAACCACAAUCAUGGUGUCACCAGGUUUAGCAAAGAAUUUGUUACUAACAAUAGCUGAAAAACUAUAAUUUGUGAAUGAUUUACUUUGUAAAUUGUUUAGAAUAGAUUUAAGAUUAUACUCAUCACUGUAUUCACUGGGUUGCUUGAAUGGGAGAGGAAAAGAUAAAAUGAAAAUAGUACACUGGAAAUUGCACAUAAUGAUCUUUCUUACUAGGUGCAGUCUGUAGUAGUCAUGGUGCAAAUGUGACUGUCAAGGGUGGGAAAGAAACAGACUGAGAACCACUGCAAACACCAACUAUUACUUGUGAGCUCUCUUACAUGAUCAAUGCACUAUAGAUGUGACACUACAAUAUCUACCAUUCCUUAUAAUGCAAAGAAAACAAUCAGCACUUCAGGAAUUUGUUUAGUUAUAUUAAGGAUUUGCCCGUUUUCUUUUCCUAGAAGAGAAGAUACACUAAACGCAGAGAAAGCCAUCAAACUACAAUUUUUUUCCAGCUGAAUCCAGACCUUUUCUGAAAAUUUUCAAGAGACAAAGAGGAUGUCAAAAAAGCAAUUAAAGAAGAUUUGGUUUGGAAAGUGUUUCUUUUGCUUAUGCCAAUAACCAAUAUAAUAAUCAUUGCCUGAAUUCUUUGGCUUUUGCUUUAUGAUCAUACACAAAUUAAUAAAUCAAACUAUAAUAGCUGACCUAGUAUAAUC
rnacentral:lncRNA from 1 species